rnacentral:rRNA from 1 species
AGUUGGUGGAGUGAUUUGUCUGGUUAAUUCCGUUAACGAACGAGACCUCAGCCUGCUAAAUAGUUACGCGAAGCACCUGCUUCGUGGACAACUUCUUAGAGGGACUAUUGGCGUUUAGCCAAUGGAAGUUUGAGGCAAUAACAGGU